GUUGAAACACCGGUUACCGUACGAUCACCGCAGUUAAGCAACGUCGAGCCUUGACAGUACCUAGAUGGAUCACCGCUUGGGAAAACCAGGUGCUGUAA
rnacentral:rRNA from 1 species